AUUGAACGCUGGCGGCAGGCCUAACACAUGCAAGUCGAACGGUAACAGGAAGCAGCUUGCUGCUUCGCUGACGAGUGGCGGACGGGUGAGUAAUGUCUGGGAAACUGCCUGAUGGAGGGGGAUAACUACUGGAAACGGUAGCUAAUACCGCAUAACGUCGCAAGACCAAAGAGGGGGACCUUAGGGCCUCUUGCCAUCGGAUGUGCCCAGAUGGGAUUAGCUAGUAGGUGGGGUAACGGCUCACCUAGGCGACGAUCCCUAGCUGGUCUGAGAGGAUGACCAGCAACACUGGAACUGAGACACGGUCCAGACUCCUACGGGAGGCAGCAGUGGGAAUAUUGCACAAUGGGCGCAAGCCUGAUGCAGCCAUGCCGCGUGUAUGAAGAAGGCCUUCGGGUUGUAAAGUACUUUCAGCGGGGAGGAAGGGAGUAAAGUUAAUACCUUGGCUCAUUGACGUUACCCGCAGAAGAAGCACCGGCUAACUCCGUG
rnacentral:rRNA from 1 species